UUACCGCCUUGACAUCGCGGAGACUAGUUCGCUGACAGGUGCUGCAUGGCUGUCGUCAGCUCGUGUCGUGAGAUGUUGGGUUAAGUCCCGCAACGAGCGCAACCCCAUCUUAGUUGCCAUCAUAUGGGACUCUAAGAAACUGCCGGUGACAACCGGAGGAAGGCGGGGAUGACGUCAAGUCCUCAUGGCCCUUAUGGCGGGCUACACACGUGCUACAAUGGAUGACAUGGGGCACUGCAAAGUCGGCAAUCCUAAAAAUGUCUCAGUUCAGAUUGUCCUCUGCAACUCGAGGGCAUGAAGUCGGAAUCGCUAGUAAUCGUGAUCAGAUGCACGGUGAAUACGUUCCCGGGCCUUGUACACACCGCCCGUCACACCAUGGGAGUUGGUUACCGAA
rnacentral:rRNA from 1 species